CCUACGUGGGGCAGCAGUGAGGAAUAUUGGUCAAUGGGCGCGAGCCUGAACCAGCCAAGUCGCGUGAGGGAAGACGGUCCUAUGGAUUGUAAACCUCUUUUGUCGGGGCGCAAAAGACGCCACGUGUGGCGUUCCGAGAGUACCCGAAGAAAACGCAUCGGCUAACUCCGGGCCAGCAGCCGCGGUACUACGGGGGAUGCGAGCGUUAUCCGGAUUUAUUGGGUUUAAGGGGUGCGCAGGCGGAAGAUCAAGUCAGCGGGAAAAUUGAGAGGCUCAACCUCUUAGAGCCGUUGAAACUGGUUGUCUUGAGUGAGCGAGAAGUAUGCGGAAUGCGUGGUGUAGCGGUGAAAUGCAUAGAUAUCACGCAGAACUCCGAUUGCGAAGGCAGCAUACCGGCGCUCAACUGACGCUCAUGCACGAAAGUGUGGGUAUCGAACAGGAUUAGAUACCCCUGUAGUC
rnacentral:rRNA from 1 species